GAUAUUCUACUACUCAGCAAAACCAAAACCAAAACCAUCCAUAUCAAAAUAUGGGCAACAACCAUAGGAUUUUUCUCGCUCAAUGCCAUUAGCUAGGGGAAAAAAAUCCUCAAACUUUCUGUCCCUGGCCCAAAACGGAAUCUACAAAGUGAAGGGUUCUCGCUAAGUUGUACUACUAAAUAAAACACUCAAACCCAUCUCUAUAUACCCAAGAAAGAAGGUCUAACUACUCCACCAAAAACACAAUCCAAUUCUACUAGUGAUCCACCAGAACAAUAUGUAACUUGGAAAAAGCAAAAGAGAAGUCAACAAACAAACAACCUCGAAUCUUAAACAAUCCAACUAAAACCCCAAUUCACUUAUCUCAGAGAUUCACUGAAAGAAAACAAGAUUUGAGACAUACCCAGAUGAAGAUGAUGAUGGUGAUGAAAUGGAAGCGUGGAGCAUAUAAGGAGUCACCAAGCAAGAAGAAUGCUGCAAGAAGAAUGAGGAAAUAAAUGAAGAGAAAGAGCACGGUUAUUAUUACACUGAAAACGUGGAGAUGGGGUUGAGCUGAGUUGAUUUUAACAGGAGAAAGAGGUAGGAAACAUCAUUUUUUUUUCCCCUUCAAAGAAGACUUUGAUGUACAAGUCUUCUUGCUUUCCAACAACCCGAAGCACACACAAGUGUCCAAAGUGAAAAAAGUGAAUGGAGAAAAGUCUUUGGUUUGAAAAUUCGGACCAAUGACGCGCAGAACUGUUCUAAUCUGUGGAAACUGAUGAGUCGGGUAGUGGUAAUGAAUUGACUGUUCGACAUGAAAACAAACCAUCUUGUAAUAACACACACACACACACACACACACACAGCCCUACCUUCUCUGGUUGCUUGCAUUAUGGGCUUGGCUAGUCUUGACCUCUCCUCUAAUAAAGUCACAUCAAAACAAUUUCUUUGUGCUUAAUGGGAAGUUGUGAACUCUGAACUCCUUACGGAUCAGGCAACUUGUGUUGAAUGAGUCUUUCCCCUUCAGUUAAGCCACUCAUUAAUCUCACCACAGUUUUUGUCGCCGGGUUCACACUGAGCACAGGGAUAAGUCUUGGGCCAGUCCAUUUCAUAUUCGCACCAUUGACAACCUCAUGCCAUGGUUUCUUUGCUGCUUCUCCUUUUUAGAUCACUAAUAUCAUCCUUGCUUUUUAACCACUAAUAAUAAUAAUAAAAAAAAAGGGAACUUGUGAUGUUUUAAUCACCGGAUUCUUAUUAAAGCAGUGAGAAAUAGAAUAUAAAAUGCAAAGGAAUUGCUCUCACUAUAAAAAUCAUCAUUUCUAACGUGUGUUUUCAGUCCCCCGGAAAAGAAGUUAGGAUAUUUGACUAAUUCCCGUCCCGAUAACAUAGACUGGGUCGUAUUUCGUGUCAUAUUUAUAAACCAAACAAAUAGGAUUCUCUCUCUCUCUCUCUCUCUCUCUCUUUUAUAUAUAUAUAUAUAUAUUAUAUAUAUAUAUAUAGAAAUUAUUUCAGUUUAUUUUUAUAUUUUAGAUCCAUCUAAAAUCUAUCUUUACAGGUCUAGUUAUUUUUAAUUUAUAUUUAUUAAGUUAUUCUCCAAUAUAUUCUUCUAAUAUAUAUUUUCAUGCAAACACUUACUUAAAAAACUCAAAUCCCACCUUAUUUAUUAAAGAAAUGUCUUGUUAUGUUAAAAUUUAUUUUUACAUGAUUUUUUUUUUAUAAACUAGGGUAGGCUUGAAUUUCUUAUAUUUUCAUCAAUCUAGAUGAUGUCAUCUAACAUUCAGAUAGAUCAAAGAACGAGUUAAUACUUUCUUAUAUCAUCCGUCCACUCUUCCCCCCCCUCUCCCCCCUUAAAAUCUCUCUAUUUUUUUUCUUGAUACCAUCAUUAUACAUUGCAUCUAGUCCCUGCAUUUUUUUUAGAAAAAAAUUUGGUCCAAUAUUUUAUUUUUCCUAUGAAAAAAAGUCUUUAAUUGAAUUUUAUUUUUAUCAUCAUCAUAUUUUACAAUAUUGUUUAGUUUUUUUAUUAUUAUUAUUUCUUUUCAAUUAAGUUCCUACAUUGUAAACUUGAUCAAGAUUUAUCAAAUAAUUUAAAUGGGUUGAUGAAUAAAGUAAGAGUUAGAUAAAUUUAAAUAGAUGUUCUCGUUUAAAAAAUAGAUUUUAUUUCAUGUAAUAUCAAUAUUUACUAUAAGAAUUUCAUUCCUUUUGCUAAAAAAUAUUUCCUGCUUUUAGUCCAAAGAAGUUGAGAUGAAAAAUAAAAGAAUAAAAUAGUAUAAUAAACAUAUGAUAUUAUUAUAAGAAUGAAUUCUGUCUCAUAACGGUACUUGAAUUUCUUGAUAUUUUUUUUACUGGUUCAAUUGGUCAUGGAUGUGAUUACUUUUUAUGACUGUGAUUGAUAUUAUCGUGAUUUUGUUUACUUAUGUUUCCUAAUAAUUUAUAUCUUUUUGAAGAAUCUCGACAAAGUUUAUGAUUUGAUAUUUAAGAACUAAAUUGAAAAAAACAAAAUUAUUGAGGACUAGUUUGUAACUGUAUUCAUUUAAAAAAAACACGGAAUAAAAACUUUAAGUUAAGAUUUUUUUUUUAAGAAAAAUAAAAUAUAGGAACCGGAGAUUUUCAAAAAAAAAAAAAGAAGAGAUCAAGAUAUACAUAAUAAAAAUGUCAUGAUGUAAAAACACGACACGUAAAUUUUGAAGGAUAUGGUGAUAAAAAAAGAAGAAAAAAUAAACAUGAAAUGACGUUUAUUUACAGAUCCGAAACAAUAAAAUUAGAUAAUUUGUGAAAUGGACAUUUGUUCAAGUAGUUAAAUCUCUUCUCUGGUGACUCGCGAAGCUGCUGAUGAGAAUUAUUUUUAACCUAUGAUUUAUGCAGUUAUUUAAUGAUAUUUUUUUUUUUAUAAUAAAGGCAGUUAUUUAAUGAUGAAGAUUUCACUGUCAAGUAUACUUUUUAUGAAAAGUGGUUUUUUAAAAAUUAUGUUUUAAAUUUUUAUGUAUUUAUUUAUUAUUUAAAAAGUUGAUAAACAAAAAAUAUUGUUUAGUUAAAAAUAAUUUGACCUGGUUUUUAGAAAAAUAUUUUUUUUAUUUUGGAUAAAAACACUUUUUAAAAACUGUAAAAAAAUUAGAAAUGUCAUGUCAUUUACUGAUUUUAUCAAAUUUGGUUUUUAGGCUUUUGAUUGCUAUAUAUUUUAUUUUAAUAUUUUUUUUCAAUUUUAUCCCUUAAAAUUUAAUUUAUUUUGAUUUUUAUAUAAAAUUUUAUCUUUAUUCUUAUGAUUGUUAUUUGUUUUUAUUUUAUCAUUUUCUUAAUUGAAACUUUUUACCUACCAAACUUGGUCCUCAUUUUUUUUUAUUGUUAUUUAUUUUAUUUAAAAUAAUUUAUAUAUAUUUUUUAAUUUCAUCAUUUAUUAAUCUUUUUAUAAAUUAGAUUUGAUAUUCAUUAUUUUUAUUAUUAUUUAUUUUAUUUAAAAUAAUUUAUGAAAUUAUAUAUGUAUAUAUUUAAUUUUUUUUUCAUAUUUUAAUUUUUAUUUGUGAGAUUUUUUUAUUAUUUUAAUAAAUUUUAAAAAAUUUAUUAAUAAGUUAUUUUUCAAUUUAUUUUUUAUUACAUGACUAAACAUUGAAAAAUAUUUUUUAAUUUUUUUUAUAAUACUAUCAAAUAUCGAAAAAUAAUAUAUUGUUUAGAAAUUUAUUUUUCAAAAAAAUUUACUUUCCAAAAAAUUUACUUUAAAGCAAAUAUUAAACAUUGUUAUAAAUAACAUUUUUUUCGAAAAAGAUACUUAUUAAUUAUAAUCUGGUCCUCUACGUUCUAACAUUGAGGAUUUGGAUCUCUGUCAUUUCUUCGCGGCAAUCGUGGCAUUGACUGCCAUUUUCAGCAGUUGGUUGCGUGUCCAAUCUUGGGAUGAUCAAACUACAAACCGAAAUUGCUCCGCAAACUGCAAAGCAAUGCAUUUUCUCCUCUUUCCUUUCACUCUGGAUUUCUCAUAGCCGCCAGUCUGUCUCUUUAUUUUUUCUUCGAGACAAUGAAAUAUCAUGCGCGUGUUUCGUAAUAUAAAAUUAUUUUCUUUUUCAUUUUUUAUUCCUUAAAACAAUUCAUGUUUUUUUUAAUGUUCAAUUGACUCAGUAGCUAAUUGAUGGUUCAGACCCUAUGUAACACCCCACCUCACUAACAAGAUAUUGUUCGCUUUGGGUCCCACAGGCCCGCACGGGUUUGUCCUUGCAGAAGCGAGCCCAUUGUGGGGCCUGACUUCCCAAAACACGUUUUACUAGUCAACGUGACUUGCACUUAUAAGACCCUGGCUCUGGACACUCGCUUUCGAUGUGGAAUAUUACAAUCCCCCUAUAUUAAGACGAGCCGUCCUCGGCUCUGAUACCAAAUGUAACACCUCACCUUACUAGCAAGAUAUUGUCUGCUUUGGGUCCCACAGGCCCACACGGGUUUGUCCUUGCAGAAGCGAGUCUAUUGUGGGGCCUGACUUUCCAAAACACGUCUUACUAGUCAAGGUGAACAUGCACUUAUAAGGCCCUGGCUCUGGACACUUGCUUUCGAUGUGGGAUAUUACACCCUAUGAAUAUAAAGGUCAUCUCGUGAUAAAAAGUAUUUAAUUACAACAUGAUUAACAUGAAUUUGUACAGCUUAUUUAUUUUUGUAUUUUAAAAAUAUUUUUUUUAAAAAUUACAAAAUAGAAGACUUUCUUUUAUGUACAAGUCUUCUUGCUUUCCAACAACCCGAAGCACACACAAGAGCCCAGAGUGAAUUAAGUGUGAGGAGAAAAGUCUUUGGUUGUAAUCUGUGGAAACUGAUGAGUCGUCGUGGUAAUGAAUUGACUGUUUGACAUGAAAACAAACCAUCUUGUAAUAACACACACACACACACAGCCCUACUUUCUCUGGUUGCUUGCAUGAUGGGCUUGGCUAGUCAUGAUCUCUCCUCUAAUAAAGUCACAUCAAAACAAUUUCCGUGUUAAUGGGAAGUUGCGAACAUUAAACUCCUUACGUAUCAGGCAACUUGUGUUGAAUGAGUCUUUCCCCUUCAGUUAAGCCACUGGUUUUGUUGCCCGCACUUAGCUGCGGGUAACAUCUACUAUUGUAUGUGAAUUCUCUAAAUAGAUAGUAAAAAAAAGAAGAAAAACUAAUCAAGGAUAGACAUAAUUCAGCUAAAAACUUAAAAGAUAUGUGAAAGUAGUUGAAGUGAAAGGAAAACAUAUGUAUAAAACUAUUCAUAAGCUUUUACAAGAGUAGAUGUUUAUAUAUGAACAUGGUAAGAGCUGUAAAACAAAAGGAGUUACAUAUGGCGAAAGAUUUGAUAGUGUCUUAAAACUUAUUUGUUGAUGAAGCAGAGAUUCAAAGCAUUGUUGAUGUAGUUGUGUGUCUAAAUCAGAGGUCCUGUGGAGUGAAGAAGAGCAAACAAUCUGAUCAUGAGUGGAAUAAUAAUAUUGAAAGAAUAUGUAUUCUGCAAAGAUAAAAAUAUACCAAUAAUGUAUUAACAAUGUAGUUGUUAUUAAUCAAAGAACAUCAAUUUGAAGAGAAAACCUUACCCACAAUUUGAAAAGAAUAUUCACACUUGGUUGUGGACAUUAUAGCAGCCAUUUCUUUGUUUCUUCAUAACUAAUGAAGAUGAUAUUAUAACUGAACAAAAAUGGUAAAACAAUGCACUCAACAAACAAAACCUACUGGAGGGGCAUUUAGUGAUUGGCUAAGGAAGCUGUUUUAAAUGUAUUUCUACAAACUACAGUUUGAUUUCAGCUUCAAACCAAUACAGUAAACUCAAUAUGAUGCUAGGAGUGAUGCAUCAUUUGAAAUCCAGCCUUAGCCAAGACCAAAAAUGCAAAAACAAAACUGUUUUUAAGAGUUGAAAAGAAAAACAAAAAUUUUCAUUAUUUUCACUAAGCUACAACAUCUGUCAAGGAUGACAUUCAAUUCAUAUUUGUCAUGAUGGAAAACAGUUGUUCUAAUUGGAACAAUGAUAAUACCAAUUAACACUGCCACAUCAUAGAUCACAUGCAACUCCUUUUUUUUAAUAAAAAAAAGCCGCAAACUUAAUGCAGCCCUAGUCCAAAACCAAAAAUAAUCCCACUAUUCCGCUCUAUGCAAUGGAAAAAGUAUAAUUGGUUUGCAAUGAAAGACAAACAACCAAAUCAAUGACUAAGGGAAUUAAAAUACAAUCUCCAUAUUAAACAAAAAAAAAAAAAAAAACUUCAUACAGCAGACCAAAAUGAAAAACCAGACUAUCUUUAAGAGUUGCAAAGAAGGAGAUUGUCAAAGAUGACAUUCAAUCCAAAUUUAGCCAUGUUGGAAAACUAUUGUUCUCAAGGAAUGAAUAGGUUUGACGGAUAUCAGAUCUAAAAGAAUGAUCAAAAUAACAUCAAUAACAUAACUCUACUUUGAUAUGGUGAAGGUAUACAUAUGCCUCAAAACAUCAGCAGUAUGCUCUGGUAUAACUAUUCCUAAACCCCCUUUUUUCUUUGGAAAAAGGAAUAUAUCAAUGAGCUAAAAUAAGGUAAAGAUGAAACGAAUACCAAAGAAAUCAUGCAUUAAAAUCAUACUUUCAUCCUAAAAAAGACACAAACUUAACUGUCGCGUUAGCUCAGCAAAACGAAUACCUAAGAAAUCAAUCUUCACAGGAACCAAACAGAAAAUUAUUUUCGUAACCCACCACUACCACACCACACCACUGGUAAGAUUUCUCAACAUAUGCAAUUCAAAACAGAAAAAAUAGCACCACGUGCAAGGACAAAAUGUGGAAGGCAAUGCAAAACAGUCCUAUGCUAUGCCAUGGGAAAAAGAGCCAGAUGUGAGCCAUGGCAGAAGAAAUGGGUGUUAAUAAGAGAACUGAGAAAGAAGUAAAAAAAAUAAUAACCAAGAAUGUGAAGGCAUCAAUCGGUAAAUUUUAUAGACAGCACAACACCAAAUAUCACAGAUAAAUUCUAAAAAGGAGAAGAAGAAUAGUCUGGCACAUAAGGAACUGGAAGUGAUAAAUAAACAGAACUGGAUAAGAAAUAGGGAUUUAGAGCUUGUAACAAUAGAAAUUUAUAUAAACGACAGACAGAGGUUUCAAACUAAGAAACAACCCAUACAGGUUCAAUAAGAGGACGAAAGGAAAGCCUCAGUUCUUCGAGGCAAUCGUGGCGUUGACUGCCAUUUUCAGCAGUUGGUUGCGUGUCCAAUCUUGGGAUGAUCAACUCUGCAAAGCAAUGCAUUUUCUCCUCUCUUUCCUUUCACUCUGGAUUUCUCAUAGCCGCCAGUCUGUCUCUUUAUUUUUUCUCCCAGACAAUGAAAUAUCAAGCGCGUGUUUCGUAAUAUAAAAUUAUUUUCUUUUUCAUUUUUUAUUCCUUGAAUCAGGUUUUUUUUUUUUUUUUUAAUUUUUAUGUUCAAUUGACUCAAUAGCUAAUUGUAUGCUUUUGAUUCAAUAGCGAUAAAAAGUAAUUCAUUUCAACAUAAUUAACAUGCAUGGUUAACGUGAAGCCGUGGAGUUUGUAUGCUUUUGUAUUUUAAAACUGUUUUUGAAAAAAAAAUAAAUUUUGAAUAAAAUUUUUAGAUUAUUUUAAUAUGCUAAUGUGAAAAAUAUAUUUUUUAAAUAAAAAAUAUAAUUUUAAUAUAUUUUCAAGUAAAAAAUACUUUAAAAAACAAUCGUUACUACAAUACCAAACAUGUUUUUAUAUGAAUGUAUCUAAUACUAUGAUGUAGAAUAUUUUUUAUUUAAAAAUAUAAUAAAAUAAUUUUUUUUAUUUUUUUUAUUUUUAACAUCAAUACAUUAAAAUUAUUAAAAAAUAUUAAUGUAAUGUUUUAAAAAACAUCUAAAAAAAUAAACAAUCUCACUAUCAAUCACACCCUUAUAAAAACCAGCUAGCUAUUGAGUCAAAGCGAACAUGUUCAAAGAACACAAGGAUUAAAAAAACUACUUCAAAAAAUACAAAAAUUAAUUGAACACAUUAAAAAUAAAAGACUGAAAAAUAAAUAAUGUUACAUCGACGUGCAUGGUAAAAUCAAGACCUAAUGUAAGUUAAUUACUGGGUUUAUUAAAAAAAAAAUUAAAUAACUAGGAUUAACUGAACAAAUUUACAAUACAUAAUAAAAAAAACAUGAGAAUAAAAAUGAAUAAUUAACACAAAUACGAGAGUAAAUUUAUGAGUUUUGCCUAAACAAUUGUUCUCGUAUUCUUACACCUUCUAUUCGUCAGAAAUGGCAUUCCCAUUUUUAACUGGUUACUAAGGUUUGGAAUUAUACUGCCGGUUGGAGUUCAAAAUAUUUUUAUUUAAAAAUAUUUUUGAGAUCAAUAUAUCAAAAUGAUCUAAAAAUAUAAUAAAAUAAUUUUUUUUUAAAAAAACAAUAAUAUUUAAAUUUUGAGAAAAUACAAUUUUAACUUAUAUUUAUUAAACCCGGUUCGGGGUUGACCCAGCCUAGGGCCCGUGUCUCGAGUUUCAUGGUCAACCCGGAUCAAUUAAAGUUUUAAUAUUUUAUACAAAAAAAUCCAUGUAAAUAUAGGCUGUACAUAUUAUAAAUAAUGAAGUUUAAAAAAAUAUAUUAAAAACUUUUUUAUCCCACAUUAAAAAGAUAUUAUGUUAAGUUUUUAAGUUGAUGUAUUUAAAUCAAAAAAGUUUUUUUAUCCCACAUUGAAAAAACAUAACUUUUUUUUUGGAAACAUAGAGUAUAUAUAUUAAUGGAUUUCAAAUCCUAUUUUGAAAAAAAAUAAAUUUUUUUUUCUAGGAAUAAAAAGUAUAUAUACUAAUGGAUUUAAAAUUUCACAUUAAAAGCAUAGUUAUUAAACCCACUCGGCCUGGGGGUUGACCCGGACAAGGAGCUAGGUCCCGUGUUUAAUGGGUCAACCCGGAAAAAUUAAAAAAAAUUAAAGUUUUAAUAUUUUAUACAAAAAAAUUAAGAAAAAAUCCAUGUAAAUAUAGGCUAUACAUAUUGUAAAUAAUGAAGUUUAAAAGAAUAUUUUAAAAAGUUUUUUAUCCUACAUUAAAAAGAUAUUAUGUUAAACUUUUAAGUUGAAGUAUUUAAAUUAAUUUUUUUUUAUCCCACAUUAAAAAAAACAUAACUUUUUUUCUUGGAAACAUAGAGUAUAUAUUAUCCAUUCACUUUUUUUUUUUUUUUUUUAAGAUCUCUCUAUUUGUUUUGUCUUGAUACCAUUAUUGUACAUUACAUUUAGUCCCUGCAUUUGUUUUUUGAAAUAACUUUGGUCCUGUAUUUAUUUUUCCUAGAAAAAAGUCUUUAAUUGAUUUUUUUUAUAUAUAAUCAUGUAUUUCACAAUAUUGUUUAGAUGUUUUUUUUCUUUUCAAUUAAGUUCCUACAUUGUAAACUUGAUCAGGAUUUAUCAAAUAAUUUAAAUGGGUUGAUGUAUAAAGUAAGAGUUAGAUAAAUUUAAAUACACGUGCUAGUUUAAAAAAUAGAUUUUAUUUCAUGUAAUAUCAUAUUUACUAUAAGAAUUUCCUUCCUUUUGCAGAAAAAUAUUUCCUGCUUUUAGUCCAAAGAAGUUGAGAUUAAAAAUAAAAGAAGAAAAUAGUAUAAUAAAUAUAUGAUAUUAUAAGAAUGAAUUCUGUCUCAUAACGAUUCUUGAAUUUCUUGAUAUUUUUUUUACUGGUUCAAUUGGCCAUGGAUGUGAUUAAUUUUCAUGACUGUGAUUGAUAUUAUUGUGAUUUUGUUUACCUUUGUUUCCUAUAAUAAUUUAUAUCUAUAUGAAGAAUCUCGACAAAGUUUAUGAUUUGAUAUUUAAGAACUAAAUUGAAAAUGUUAUAUUAUUGGGGACUAGUUUGUAACUGUAUUCAUUAUUGAGGAUAAAUGAGCAAGAUUUUACGAUAAUAGGACAGCGGUAUAUAUAAAGUUGGUGUUUCAACCAAAGCAGGUGCUUGAAAUGCUACAAAUAUAGUUACAAACACUCACACUAUACCUAUAUGAUCAAAGCUACAACGUAGAAUAUAUUUUCGCGAGAGCCGAUUGAUGGCCUCAGACUCUUUUCUAUCAAUCUUAACACCUCUGAUAUUCAUUAAACUUCCUUUGUUGCAUCGGCAACAAUAAGUUCAUCCGGGAAAUCAGUGUCACCUGUAUCAGUUGGUAACAUAAUAUCAUCUUCAGUUGUGAAAUGGUAUCUCUCCCCAAUAGCUCUGAGGAGCUGAUGCACCUCAAACAUUGUUGGUCGCUCCUUAGCAUUCUCAACCACACAGUUACAAGCAACUUUAAGAAAUUGGUUGAGUUCGUGAUCGAAUCCAUUUCCAAGCAAAGGCUUGUCAAUGGAAGUAUGAAGAAGUGGACCAUCUGUCAGUUGUCUGAUCCACUCCACUAAACUUCCCUUGAAGCUUUCAGGGGCAUUAGCAACAUGAGUGGGCUUUUCACCGGUGAUCAACUCCAGGAGAACCACACCAAAGCUAUAAACAUCCCCCUUCGGCGUUGCAACAAGGGUCCUUUGAUAUUCAGGAGCAACAUAAUCCAACCCCCCAAAUUUCCCAUUGACGAAAGCUCUCAAAUGUGUGUCGACUCGGUUCAUGAGUCUGGUAAGGCCAAAAUCAGAUAACUUUGGCUCAAAAUCGUUAUCCAAGAGUAUGCACUUGGAGCUUAUGUUCCUGUGGAUAAUUCGUGGAUUGCAGUUAUGAUGAAGCCAUGCCAAACCUCUAGCCGCUCCAAUUGCAAUUUUGAGCCUCAGGGACCAAUCCAUGUUCCUGAUCUCAGGUUCCACUGGGUGCAGUUUAUCAUAAAGGGUCCCAUUUUCCAUGAAUUUAUACACCAAAAAUCUCUCCCUCUUUGCCACACAAAAGCCCAGCAGCGGGACCAAAUUUCGGUGUUUCACAUUCCCAAGUGUCUUCAUCUCUGAUACGAACUCUUUCUCUAAAUGAUGAGAGUCUUGCAAUCUCUUAACCAUAAGGAAGCAACCAUCAGAAAUCACUGCCUUGUACAUCGGUCCUGUUCUUCCUGCUCCAAUGAUGUUGUUAUUACUGAAGUCGUUGGUUGCCUUCAUGAGAUCACUCAAUCUCAUUUUUGAAACUGAUUUCUCAAACAUGGAAACCUGUAGAUAACAGAAUCUUUGCUGUUAGAUAUUUUGUUGCGUCAAAUAAAAAAUGAAAUCAUUGAUGAGUUAACAUGGCCAGAAAAAAGAACAGAAAUUCAAUUCCCAUGCGAGAAAAAAAACACAGUAUAUCCAUUGCACAUGAUUAGUUAGAUAGCUUGCCUUGAUGUCUUUGGUUCCCUUGAUGCUCUUUGCCCAUCUGUUACCUUCAGGAUCCUCCGCCCUCUUCUUAGCCGCUCCGCGAGACAAGUAGAACUGAAAGACACCAACAAUAAUUGAUGUAAAUGUUAUCCCGCCAGCGGCUGAUGCAGCAAUUACUCCAACACGGGAUUUCCCCGCGACAGCUGGACAGGCACUCAAUGGCUUUCCACAGAGGUCCAGAUUAUUUGCAAAGCUAUCAGCUGGGAUGUUAUGAUGGAUAAAUGUGGGGAUCGGCCCUGAUAGAAGAUUGUUGGUAACCGUAAAUACCUUGAUCCGAUCAAGCAGGCCAAAUUCCGGUGGAAUCUUGCCUGUUAGCCGGUUGUUGCCAAGUUUGAGAUCAUUCAAGAAACUACAAUUUGAAAGAUUUGUUGGAAUUCCACCUGAAAAAUUGUUGAAUGAAAGAUCAAGGUUUGUAAUAUAGGGGAUAAGCUUUGAGAUAUUAUCAGGGAUUGAGCCAGAUAGCUGGUUGUGCGAAAGAUCCAAGCCAGUCAAGCUUGUGCAAUUCUGGAUGCCAGGGGGGAACUGGCCCUCAAGACCGAAGUCUGACAGGUCGAUAUUUAGAACUCUGUUCUCGUCAGGGUGCCAGCAUUCAAUGCCCUUAAAUCCACAUAUGAAGCCUUCAGUAUUGUUGUUGAAAUUCCAUGUAGUGUUCAAGUAGCUAUUAGGAUCCACCAGAGAAUCUCUGACGGAUUUCAAGCACGCUAUAUCAGUCUCAGUAUCAUUACUCACAGAUAUUCUACUACUCAGCAAAACCAAAACCAUCCAUGUCAAAAUAUGGGCAACAACCAUAGGAUUUUUCUCGCUCAAUGCCAUCAGCAAGGGGAAAAAAAUCCUCAAACUUUCUGUCCCUGGCCCAAAACGGAAUCUACAAAGUGAAGGGUUCUCGCUAAGUUGUACUACUAAAUAAAACACUCAAACCCAUCUCUAUACAUCCAAGAAAGAAGGUCUAACUACUCCACCAAAAACACAAUCCAAUUUUACUAGUGAUCCACCAGAACAAUAUGUAACUUGGAAAAAGCAAAAGAGAAGUCAACAAACAAACAACCUUUAAUCUUAAACAAUCCAACUAAAAUCCCAAUUCACUUAUCUCAGAGAUUCACUAUAAGAAAACAAGAUUUGAGACAUACCCAGAUGAAGAUGAUGAUGAUGAAAUGGAAGUGUGGAGCAUAUAAGUUGUCACCAAGCAAGAAGAAUGCUGCAAGAAGAAUGAGGAAAUAAAUG
rnacentral:lncRNA from 1 species